GGGGAGACCCUGAUGCAGCCAUGCCGCGUGUGUGAAGAAGGCCUUCGGGUUGUAAAGCACUUUCAGUUGUGAGGAAAAGUUAGUAGUUAAUACCUGCUAGCCGUGACGUUAACAACAGAAGAAGCACCGGCUAACUCCGUGCCAGCAGCCGCGGUAAUACGGAGGGUGCGAGCGUUAAUCGGAAUUACUGGGCGUAAAGCGCACGCAGGCGGUUUGUUAAGCUAGAUGUGAAAGCCCCGGGCUCAACCUGGGAUAGUCAUUUAGAACUGGCAGACUAGAGUCUUGGAGAGGGGAGUGGAAUUCCAGGUGUAGCGGUGAAAUGCGUAGAUAUCUGGAGGAACAUCAGUGGCGAAGGCGACUCCCUGGCCAAAGACUGACGCUCAUGUGCGAAAGUGUGGGUAGCGAACAGGAUUAGAUACCCUGGUAGUCCACACCGUAAACGCUGUCCACUUUCAGUUUGUGACUUUAAGUCGUGAGUAGCGAAGCUAACGCGCUAAGUAGACCGCCUGGGGAGUACGGCCGCAAG
rnacentral:rRNA from 1 species